rnacentral:rRNA from 1 species
GCAGUCGAGCGGGCGUACAUACGUCAGCGGCAGACGGGUGAGUAACGCGUGGGAACAUACCUUUUGGUUCGGACAACACAGGGAAACUUGUGCUAAUACCGGAUAAGCCCUUACGGGGAAAGAUUUAUCGCCGAAAGAUUGGCCCGCGUCUGAUUAGCUAGUUGGUGAGGUAACGGCUCACCAAGGCGACGAUCAGUAGCUGGUCUGAGAGGAUGAUCAGCCACAUUGGGACUGAGACACGGCCCAAACUCCUACGGGAGGCAGCAGUGGGGAAUAUUGGACAAUGGGCGCAAGCCUGAUCCAGCCAUGCCGCGUGAGUGAUGAAGGCCCUAGGGUUGUAAAGCUCUUUUGUGCGGGAAGAUAAUGACGGUACCGCAAGAAUAAGCCCCGGCUAACUUCGUGCCAGCAGCCGCGGUAAUACGAAGGGGGCUAGCGUUGCUCGGAAUCACUGGGCGUAAAGGGUGCGUAGGCGGGU